AAACUUGUAGUUCAGUGGUAGAACGCUCGCUUUGCACAUAGCAACUUGCGAGAGGUCCAGUGGUUCGAUUCCCUGCAAGUCUG